UAGGGAAUCUUCCGCAAUGGGCGAAAGCCUGACGGAGCAACGCCGCGUGAGUGAUGAAGGUCUUCGGAUCGUAAAACUCUGUUAUUAGGGAAGAACAAAUGUGUAAGUAACUAUGCACGUCUUGACGGUACCUAAUCAGAAAGCCACGGCUAAAUACGUGCCAGCAGCCGCGGUAAUACGUAGGUGGCAAGCGUUAUCCGGAAUUAUUGGGCGUAAAGCACGCGUAGGCGGUUUUUUAAGUCUGAUGUGAAAGCCCACGGCUCAACCGUGGAGGAUCAUUGGAAGCUGGAAAGCUUGAGUGCAGAAGAAGAAAGUGGAAUUCCAUGUGUAGCGGUGAAGUGCGCAGAGAUAUGGAGGAACACCAGUAGCGAAGGAGACUUUCUGGUCUGUAACUGACGCUGAUGUGCGAAAGCGGGGGGAUCAGACAGG
rnacentral:rRNA from 1 species